GUGCUCAUUCGGCAGUACAUAUACCACAACUGGAAUCAUACAGAGACAGUUACAAUGGCUCUUGCGCAAGAAUGACAAGCAAAUUUGUGAAUUGUUCUGUAUUUUA